rnacentral:rRNA from 1 species
CAGUAGCCGCGGUAAUACAGGGGAUGCAAGCGUUAUCCGGAAUGAUUGGGCAUAAAGCGUCUGUAGGUGGCUUUUUAAGUCCGCCGUCAAAUCCCAGGGCUCAACCCUAGACAGGCGGUGGAAACUACCAAGCUGGAGUAUGGUAGGGGCAGAGGGAAUUUCCGGUGGAGCGGUGAAAUGCGUUAAGAUCGGGAAGAACACCAACGGCGAAAGCACUCUGCUGGGCUGACACUGACACCGAGAGACGAAAGCUAGGGGAGCAAAUGGGAUUAGAUACCCGGGUAGUCCCUGUCUCUUAUAC